rnacentral:rRNA from 1 species
AGAACGAACGCUGGCGGCAGGCCUCAAACAUGCAAGUCUAGGGGGUGUAGCAAUACAUCACCGGCGGACGGGUGCGUAACGCGUGGGAAUGUACCUAUUGGUUCGGAACAACUGAGGGAAACUUCAGCUAAUACCGGAUGAGCCCGAAAGGGGAAAGAUUUCUCGCCAAUAGAUCAGCCCGCGUCCGAUUAGCUAGUUGGUGGGGUUAAAGCCUACCAAGGCGACGAUCGGUAGCUGUUCUGAGAGGAAGAUCAGCCACACUGGGACUGAGACACGGCCCAGACUCCUACGGGAGGCAGCAGUUGGGAAUCUUGGACAAUGGGGGAAACCCUGAUCCAGCCAUGCCGCGUGAGUGAUGAAGGCCUUCGGGUUGUAAAAACGUCGUUUACGACGGGGGUACAGUAAUGACGGUACCCGUAGAAGAAGCUCCGGCUAACUUCGUGCCAGCAGCCGC